rnacentral:rRNA from 1 species
CUACACAUGCAGUCGAACGGCAGCACAGGGGAGCUUGCUCCCUGGGUGGCGAGUGGCGGACGGGUGAGGAACACAUCGGAAUCUGCCUAUUUGUGGGGGAUAACCUCGGGAAACCGGGACUAAUACCGCAUACGACCUACGGGUGAAAGCCGGGGACCUUCGGGCCUGGCGCAGAUAGAUGAGCCGAUGUCGGAUUAGCUAGUUGGAGGGGUAAAGGCCCACCAAGGCGACGAUCCGUAGCUGGUCUGAGAGGAUGAUCAGCCACACUGGGACUGAGACACGGCCCAGACUCCUACGGGAGGCAGCAGUGGGGAAUAUUGGACAAUGGGCGCAAGCCUGAUCCAGCCAUGCCGCGUGAGUGAAGAAGGCCCUCGGGUUGUAAAGCUCUUUUGUUGGGAAAGAAAAGCAGUCGGUUAAUACCCGGUUGUUCUGACGGUACCCAAAGAAUAAGCACCGGCUAACUUCGUGCCAGCAGCCGCGGUAAUACGAAGGGUGCAAGCGUUACUCGGAAUUACUGGGCGUAAAGCGUGCGUAGGUGGUUCGUUAAGUCUGAUGUGAAAGCCCUGGGCUCAACCUGGGAAUUGCAUUGGAUACUGGCGGGCUAGAGUACGGUAGAGGGUGGCGGAAUUCCUGGUGUAGCAGUGAAAUGCGUAGAUAUCAGGAGGAACAUCCGUGGCGAAGGCGGCC